AUUGAACGCUGGCGGCAGGCCUAACACAUGCAAGUCGAAAGAGUGGCGGACGGGUGAGUAAUGACUGGGAAACCGCCUGAUGGAGGGGGAUAACUACCGGAAACGGUAGCUAAUACCGCAUACCAUCGGAUGUGCCCAGAUGGGAUUAGCGAGUAGGUGGGGUAAAGGCUCACCUAGGCGACGAUCCCUAGCUGGUCUGAGAGGAUGACCAGCCACACCGCAGCUGAGACACGGUCCAGACUCCUACGGGGGGCUGCAGUGGGGACUAUUGCACAAUGUGCGGAAGCCUGAUAUAGCCAUGCCGCGUGUAUGAAGAAGGCCGUCGGUUUGUAAAGGACUUUCUGCGGGGAUGCGUUACCCGCAGAAGAAGCACCGACUAACGCCGUGCCAGCAGCCGCGGUAAUUC
rnacentral:rRNA from 1 species